GCCAUGAUGUGACUUCAGGUAACCAGAUUCAAUGUCUCGAGUCCCCACUGGGCCACCCUCUCCACGGAGCAAUCACUGCACUGCCACCAUUGCACCUCAGACCAUAAACGUGCCAGUAUGAUUUGUUAUCCUUUCAUCCGUCUCGCAGACUGAGCUUGUGGCGUCAGUGGUGAGGUCAGUGGUAGUCCCUGCACUCCAUGGUUUUCGUUUUCCUUGCUAAAGAAAGCCAUCGUGAUUCUUAUCUGCAAUAGUUUUCUUCUGGUGGACAGGACAUCAUGUGAAGGAAAAGAAGUGUGGAAACGACAGCCAUCCCUUCCACCACCACCCACCAGCAGGCAAGGGUAUAGCUCCUCUAUAUAGAGCCUCCCCCCACCCCUGCUGGCUCUCAACACUCACACCACUAGUGGCUUAACUCAACUGAGAAAAGAGAGAAAAAACAAAGAGGAGGAAGAUGGAAGGAAGAAGGAACAGAGGAGUGAUGCUAAGUGGAGGGAGGAGCUACUACAGCAGCCGUCGGCCGAUCCCCAGACGGGGCAAGGUGAAGGCCUCCAUCGCCAUCGGCCUCGCCCAGUCCCUCGCAGCUCUCUUCUCCCUCGCUGUUGGCCGCCUCGCCUAGAUCAAAUCAUGGCAUGGCUAUUCAUGCUUGAUGAUACGCACCCUGGGGCUCAAAACAUCCUUCUUUUGUUCUCCCGUCCUCUUUGUAGUCAGCUCCCCAAACCCAGAUUUUUGUUUGGGUGUCAUGUAAAUUAACCUUGUGAAUACAAUGAGAAUCAAGUUUUGUCCAUCA